rnacentral:rRNA from 1 species
UACGUAGGGUCCGAGCGUUGUCCGGAAUUAUUGGGCGUAAAGAGCUUGUAGGCGGUUUGUCGCGUCUGCUGUGAAAUUUCGGGGCUCAACCCCGAACUUGCAGUGGGUACGGGCAGGCUAGAGUGUGGUAGGGGAGACUGGAAUUCCUGGUGUAGCGGUGAAAUGCGCAGAUAUCAGGAGGAACACCGAUGGCGAAGGCAGGUCUCUGGGCCACUUCUGACGCUGAGACGCGAAAGCGUGGGGAGCGAACAGG